rnacentral:rRNA from 1 species
GACGAACGCUGGCGGCAUGGAUUAGGCAUGCAAGUCGAACGGAUGCAGCAAUGCAUUAGUGGCGGACGGGUGAGUAACGCGUGAGCAAUCUGCCUCUGUGUGCGGGAUAACAGCCGGAAACAGCUGCUAAUACCGCAUAACGUAUACGGGCCGCAUGACCUGUAUACCAAAGGUUUACUGCACAGAGAUGAGCUUGCGUCUGAUUAGAUAGUUGGCGGGGUAACGGCCCACCAAGUCGACGAUCAGUAGCCGGACUGAGAGGUUGAACGGCCACAUUGGAACUGAGAAACGGUCCAGACUCCUACGGGAGGCAGCAGUGGGGAAUAUUGGGCAAUGGGCGAAAGCCUGACCCAGCGACGCCGCGUGAGGGAAGACGGUCUUCGGAUUGUAAACCUUUGUCAACAGGGACGAACAAAUGACGGUACCUGUGGAGGAAGCCACGGCUAACUACGUGCCAGCAGCCGCCGUAAAAC